rnacentral:rRNA from 1 species
AUUGAACGCUGGCGGCAUGCUUUACACAUGCAAGUCGGACGGCAGCGGGGUAGUGCUUGCACUACUGCCGGCGAGUGGCGGACGGGUGAGUAAUAUAUUGGAACGUACCGAGUAAUGGGGGAUAACCAAUCGAAAGAUUGGCUAAUACCGCAUACGCUCUGAGGAGGAAAGCAGGGGACCUUCUUGCCUUGCGUUAUUCGAGCGGCCACUAUCUGAUUAGCUAGUUGGUGGGGUAAGGGCGUACCAAGGCGCCGAUCAGUAGCGGGACUGAGGGGAUGAUCCGCCACGCUGGGAGUGAGACACGGCCCAGAGUCAUACGGGAGGCAGCAGUGGGGAAUUUUGGACAAGGGGCGGAAGCUUGAUCCAGCCAUGCCGCGUGUCUGAAGAAGGCCUUCGGGUGGUAAAGGACUUUUGUAGGGAAGAAAAAGGAGCGGUUAAUACCCGUUUCUGCUGACGGUACCUAAAGAAUAAGCACCGGCUAACUACGUG